GGGGAUAAUGUAUUAAUACAGUGUUGAGUCAUACUUCAGAAUCGACAAUCUGAUCUAUAAGAUAUCGUUGAAACUGUUCCCCAUUUCUGUUUCUUUUACUAACCGAGCCUAUUUUGUGCUUCUCUGGUGCGACUGCAUUGCACACGAAGACAGCUUUGGUGCAGAAAUUUGGUGCAGUAUUUCAGUUUUUGUCUGUUGGUUUGAACAUUGUUACUGUGACGCACUGAAUGUGGCAUUUAUUGGAAUUGCAUUUGGCAUAUUUGAUCUGUCACUGUGGCCAACUAGAAUGAUACAACUAUGAACAUAUUUUGAAAGCAUUUCGAGUAUGAAUAACUCAGAUUUCGCAAACAUUAAUAGCUCCAUUUUAUCUUAUAAACAUUUUAAGACUUAAGAAUAAAUGCUCUUCAAAGAGGACUAAUAAGUUUGAUAAAUUCGAAUUUACUACAAUGAUUGGAUUGCAAAUUGGUCAGCCUCGCAUAAUAGUUAAUAAGCUAGCCGAAGCAAACUAACAACUUUUAGGUUGCUUAAGCAUUUAAACUCCACACAGACUCCUUUACGAGGGAUCUUUUGAUGCUGGUUCUUUAACAUCCAAUUCAGUAAUUGAAAAAUCUUUAUACCGACUCCUUUACCAGACAUUUCUCCAUAUUUUAUAAAGUUUGUCUGCACACUGACUCCUUCACCAGGAAUUGCUUUAAGAAUAUUUCAUGAAGUCCUGUCAACAACUGUUGCUCUGCAUUCACACUCUUUCACCAGGAAUCCAUACCAGUAUAAAUGCAAACUACCACUGCUCUGCGCACUGACUCCUUCACCAGGAAUCUUUCCAGAAACAUUUUACCAGGUCCUUUCGACUACUGCUGCUCUGCACACUGACUCCUUCACCAGCAAUCGCUCUGAAAAUAUUUUAUGAAGU